GCUCUCAUCGUCUAGUGGCCUAGGACAUCGCCCUCUCACGGCGGAAACAUGGGUUCGAGUCCCAUUGAGAGCA
rnacentral:tRNA from 1 species